CUGGGAGAGAGGGAGGGUGUGAAAAAGGCCUGGGGUGGGGGGCAGCCCAGAAGGACUGCUGUAGUUCUCAGCUUCACAGGAGAAUCCCCUGGAGAAAACAAUGAUGGCUGGGCUCCAUCCCAAGCCAGCUAUUCCAAAUCACUAGGGGUGUGGCUCUGGCAACAGCAUUUUUUCAAGGUUUUCCAGGUGGUUCUUCCCGGCAACCUGGUUUGAGAACCACUCUUUUCACACAGGGGCCAGAGUAAGACAAUAAACAGACACACCUGAAGUUGUUCUCAAACUUUAUUAGGAGGUAAGCCGCCUGGAGAGCUUGGUGAAGUUGUGGGUUUUCUCAAACCCACCCCGCACCUCCCCCAGAAGAUCAGCUUCAGUUGGUCUGGAUGAAUCUACGUUUAUAACAAGCUCCCAGAGAUCCCGAGAUACCCUGGGGAAGAGAUGGUGGCUGAGGAGCAGAAGAGAGGUGAAAGUCUAAUCCUGAAGAUGACCCUUCCUAACCUUGGUCCCAGAGUGAGCUCAGUCAAACUCAGUCCCGAAAAAGAUGAGAAACCUGGGACACCAACAGGAAAAGUAACCUGCUGAUCGCAAAGAACUCAUUUCCACAAUGGGUGACUUCCAGAGAGCCUGUCUUGAUGAUCCAAGCUUCCUUGUGUUAAUGUAAAAAAAAUACACAAUGUAAGAGUGGUAAGUUAAGUUUUAUUUGGGGCAAAAUGAGGACAACAGCCCAGAAAACAACACCUAUGAUAGCUCUGAGAAACCUCUCUAAAGAGACAGAGGAGGAAGGUAAGUAUGUAUGUGAUUUUGGUGAAGAGGGGAUGUAUGCAGUGAAGCACAUAUCUUUUGCAGAAGGAUUCUGCUACUCAUGAGGAGCAGUCAUCACCAUGAGGAUUUUAGUGCUCUUCUAAAUAUGAGGAGAUGAAAGAGCUGGGCUCGUAAAAUCAGCUCCCGAAAUUAACUAACUAUCCAAAGACCUGUUCUGCCAGUUACCCGCCCUACCCUGCCCCAGCACAGAGUGCCUCAUUUCUGCUCACCAUUCUGAACUCUUUUGGGGGGUGUUGAAAAUCAGCAGCUGCAGCAGCACAUGAUUUAAUCCUUGUAGAGGUAGAUGGCAAGUGCCAAUCUGUAGUUGACACUUGGGUACCUUUUACAGUAACUACUAGAACUUGAAUACACUGCAGAAAUGACCCUCUCCCCAGGGCCAUGCUCACUGUUUACAUAGCCUACAAGGAGGAGUCCUGUUGGUUAACCUAGAAUUUAGUGGUUUCUUGAGGUACAAGGAAAUAUAUCUACUCCCCCAGAACAAAUGAAAUCAAGAAAGAACUGCUUGAACCCCAUAUGUUAAUUGGUUUUGCAGCUCUUAGUGAUUUGACUCUUUGAAUCCAUAACUGCUGUAUUUUAGAUAGAAAAUUGUUAUCUUUACCUUAUGGAAACUAUGUUUCAAACCAAGUUGUAUAAGAAACUUUAGCGUAUGCAUAUUGGGGUAGGAAUAUUUAACCUCAGUGUUCACCUUCUUCCCGCCAGUUCUCGCAUGCUGUCUGGCCAUGUGGUGGAACAUUACUGUCAAUUUCCAGCUUGCACAUUUCCUAAGGGAAAUCAUGGUGGCUCAACUCAAUAUUCUCAACUAAGCAAACAUUCAUUGAAUACCUAUUGCUGGUACCUACUGCAUGUCAGUGAGACAAGGUACCUGAUGUGCUUUGCUAGGGAAAUGCAAGACACAAGGGAAUACAUAAGAGACACCUGACCCAAUCUUCAAGAAUCAAGAAGAUUUUCUGAAGGAAGUGACAUCAAAAUUGGAAGCUGAAAGAAAAUCGGGAGAUUAUCAGGUAAAAAAGGGAAAUGGAUGCAAUUCAGAAAAAAGAAGAUAAUUUGUGCAAAGGAUUGCACACACAGGAGAAUGUCCCUGUGCUCAAGGAAUGUCACACAAUCCUGAUUGGCUGGGGCUGGAGUCAAACUAUAAAGGAUCUCAGAUGCCUUGCUGAAAACCUGGAACUUCAUCUUACAGGGGCCACAGAAAAUCAUUACUUGGUUUAAAAUGGAGUGACAGGAUCAAGUUGAUGCUUUAAGAGAACAUUCUGAUAAUUAGUUGUAGAAGAAUGUGGCUGGAGGCCCUCAAAAGAGGUACAAUAUAGAGCUGGAUUAUAAAAAAGAAAAAUAGAAUAAAUUCCUCAAGGAGGAAGAAUUUGAGCUUAGCCCUGGAAUUGGAAAAAGCCCAUCCAGGACUAAUGGAACAAUGCAAAUAAGGUUUAGGAGACAGGAAAAUACAAGGACAAAAUGUAUAAGGGAAGUAGGUGCCUGGGCCAAAGUGUGGGCCUUGAAAAGCAAAAGUGGUACACAGUGUGGCCUUAACAGUAAUUGAGGAUGAAUUCAGAUAAGACCUCAAAUUGUACGCUGGCUAGUUUUAUUCUGGUAACAACAUAGACCCCUUGAAGUGGCUUAUCGUGAUCCAGUUUUAGAAAAUUUAUUCAAGGAGUGAAGCAAAUGUUAUGGCAUGGCUAUAUUGACCUUGGCAUUUUUCAAAGGCACAGAUCAGUUAAUUCAUAUUUGGAUUGUCAGGACUUACACUGUAUGUAUCUGGCAGGUGCCCAGUACAGAUGGUUUGAUGUAUUAGCUGGUGAGAAGAUGGUUGGAUGGAUUCAUGGAUAGAAGAAUGAAUAGACAGAUGGAUGAGUAAACUGAUAAAUCAUCACACCGCAAGGAUAAAUGAGCUCUGGGUGAAAUAAUUUAUCAGAACAACUUUUUUUUAAACCUAGGAAAUAAGCAAUGAGAUUCUCACCACACCCUACAGGAGUUAACAUAGAAAAUAAACCUUCAUCCUCUCUAAUGAGCUCUAGAAAUUGAUCUUAACCAACUCUUGUGAGUGUGUCUCUCAAAAAUCUACUGUGUAAACUGCCUAUUAAGAUAUUGUUACCUUUAAGACUGCCUUCCAAACCUUAAACUUUUAUAGUGCUGAGUUCCCACUUGCCCUUAGGAAUAGGACAAGGGGCAUCCUUUCCUUGGGUUCAUAUACAAAACCCUGAAGAUCAAAGUGAAAAUACAGAAUAUACUACUGAGCAACCAUGUAUUUUUUCCCCAGAAAUCAAGACCCCCCUCUCACACCUAAAAUAAAACUCUGAGAACCAACUUUUUAAUUAGAAUGAAUAAGUUGCUUCCUUGAUUAAUUGCACAUUGCAGGAAAAAAGACUAUGUAGGAGGUAAUAAUUUAUGGUAGCAAUUUGAGGUGAUUUUAUCAUAAACUUUCCAUGGUUUCAUACUGUAGAUUUUGGAAAACAUAGUACUUUGUCAAAAAGGGAGGGGGGUGGAGGAAGUAAAAUAAAUAUUUAAGCCCAGAGAGAUCACUCCAACAAAUGUUCAUUCUUAGAUCAUCUGUUCUUCAUUUCAUGAUAUACGUUAUAAACAACAGUCUCACUCCAACUCUCACAUUGCUGCAUACUUUAAAAUUCAGCAAAUAUGUUAGUGCACAUAUAUAAUGUAUUGUUGUAGUUUGCAGUCACAGAUAACUCUACUAAUGGAGUUGUUUGCCAUAUAUAUGGAUAAGGUUAAAAAUCUCAGAGAGACUAACAGUCUUGCCACAUGGGUAGAUGUACUGGGGGACUGUCCUAUUUCUGUAGCUCUAGAGACCAUUUUAGCACAAAUCACUUCUCAUGACUCUGUCUCUUUGCUCAAUGGGUUACUGAUGUCUUUGCUCUAAAAGAGCUACAUGGAUUUACUCACUGCCAAGUGGGUCUUUUCGCUGCUGCUAUACUCAGAAUAUCUUAACUAUGCAGCAAGGCUUUACACUGUAUUUCAGGAUGUCAAGUGAAAAUUUCUUCUUCUGGAACCUGCAGUCAUUUCUUGCUUCAGUUUUCCACAUAGCUGCUAAAGUUGUUCUGCCUUUUGUUAGGAGAGCAAGCAAUAUAGCGUUAAGGCAACGGCUAGCCAAUACUGAACCUUGGUUAAGGAUAUUUGUUUUGUAUUUUAAGAUUUUACAACUUACUUAUUUUAAUUUCCAUUUGUUUAUUUAGCUGCACCAGGUCUUAGUUGAGUCAUGUGAAUUCUUAGUCAAGACAUGUGGGAACUAUUUCCCUGAGCAGGGAUCAAACCCAGGCCGCCUGCAUGGGGAGCAUAGUGUUAGCCACCACUGGAACACCAGGAAAUUCCCAAGACUUAUGGUUUUUUUAGAGAAGCUUUAGGUUAACAGUGAAAUUGAGUGGAAGGUACAGAUAUUUCCCAUAUAUUCUCUGCCCCCACACAGGCAUGGCCUCCCCCAUGAUCAACAUCCCCUACACGUGUUACCACUGACGAACAUACGCUGACUCACCACAAUCAUCCAGAGUCCAUAGUUUACUGUAGGCUUUACUCUUGGUCUUGUACACUCUGUGACUUUGGUUAUACAUGUAAUGACAGGUAUUCAUUAUUAUAUCAUCAUCCCAUGGGUUAGUUUUAUAGAUUACAGAAAAACGAGCAACCCAAAAAUACACACACACACUGCUCAUUUUCAAAAAGCUAAAUUUUAUUCCAUUAAAAAGUCUAAAUUUUAUUCUAAAGUCAUCGCCUUCCUACUUAUUUUUUUAAGAAAAUAUACUUUCUCCUGUGAAAGGAUAAAGGCAAAAUGAAAAUAAUGGUGCUUAACUUUGUGGGAUUGUGUGAGGAUUAAACAGGAUAAUCCAUGUAAAAUUUGGCACAGUGUCUGGCUAAUAGCAAAAAAAUUAAUAGAUGUUAUGUAAGAUUAUUAUUGUUGUUAUUAUUCAUUGCUUCUUGUAGGCUUUAAUUUCUUUUUUUCCUUUUUUGCUAUUGCUAUUAUUCAAAAAACAGACACUGGUUUUUAAUUACCUUACUUAGAUUAAGAAAAAAGUUUUCAACAUCAUGUUAGCUCUCCUUUUUUUGUUUAAAACUUAAAAUCCAAAUAUCUGAAAAUGAUCAGGGGAAGGAAAAUAGACCUAAAAUAGACUAUUUAGGAAGUCUGAGACCAAACACUGGCCCUCCUGGUACAGUGACUCUGUAAUUGUAAUCACAUAAGCUCCAUGUGAUUGAGUAUCCUGACUUAACUACGUUCACACCAGACUAUUUUGGAGUGCCAACACGUAAUUAUAACACCUCUUAGGGUUUUGUGAAAAUUAAAUGGAUUUUAAAGUAUUAAUAAAACCUUUAGAACAAUACCUGGCGUAUAACGCAUGUAUUAAUACAUACAAGGUAAACAUUAGCUUUACUAUUGUUUUUGUUCCAGGUCCGAUAUGUAAACAGCCAGUACCCCUUCUAUGGUGAUUAUUGUGUUUAGGUGCUCUCUUUUGGGCUUCCCUAGUGGCUCAGGUGGUAAAGCGUCUGUCUGCAAUGCAGGAGACCCAGGUUCGAUCCCUCAGCUGGGAAGAUCCCCUGGAGAAGGAAAUGGCAGCCGACUCCAGUAUUCUUGCCUGGAAAAUCCCAUGGACCAUGGAGCCUGUUAGGCUACUGUCCAUGGGGUCACAAAGAGUCGGACAUGACUGAGCGACUUCACUUUCACUUUCUCAGUGAUAUUCUAUUCUUAAUUUUUUGGUUAGGGCCCAAGAUAUCAGUUAUAGAGCUAUAGUAGACAUAAGGCUAAAAACCACUAAAAUAUGAAGACAAACUAUUUAAAGGAUUAUAUCACUUUAGGAAAUGAUAAAUAGCUUACUUUAUAUAAUUUUCUCAUAGAAUCACAUGGUCAAUUGCAACAGACUUUUUGACAAAUUACUUAUACUACUUCACUGGUUACACAUUGGAAUGGACUAUUACAUCAAGGUAUAAAAACCCCUUCAUUGAAGAAUUAUAUAUAUAGUUAUCUGUGUGGAUGUUUCAUUUGAGAUUCCUCCCAAAUUUAUAAUUUUUGCGGGUAAUAAAAGGACAAUCAUGUUCAUUCCUGCUAAUAAGAAUGAGCUUAAUUAUCAACAAUCCUAUAUAAGACAUUUACUUCCUACUUGAGAUAAAUUGCUUCAUUCAUCAUUUUUUGACAGCCUGCUACAUGUUAACUACCCUAUUAGGUGACAGUUUCAGUCUUCAUAGUGUUCAAGUUCAAUGAGGAGACAAAUAACCCAAAUGUAAUAAAACAGAAUGUUGUGAUGAUGACAGGGACAUUCCUAGGUUCUAUGUGAGCAUGGAAGUUUAAACAUGGAAGUAUCUAAACAGCCUCCUCCUCGGAGCAACAUUUAAACUGAGUCUUACAGGAUUAUUGAACAUUAGAGGGGCAAUGGACAAUACAUUGCAACAUAAUCAUCUUCAAACAUAGCUACUCAACUAUCGAGUACUUUUCCUUACGGAAUUCCCUCUCCCCUUAAUUUUUCAGUGUCUUCUGUAUGUCCCUAACUCUGAGUGUCCAGGAAAGACUCCAUACGUACAAAUCAAAUCCUUUUAUUCCUCAUAAAAUUCCCAUGUGCUCUCAAAAUAGUAAUUAUCUAAAAUACAUUUUAAAUGUCAGUUUAUAAAAGAGCAAUGCCAAAGCCAAGGGGGAAAUGUAGUUCAAAGGCAUCAACAAAAAUGGAAUGAUAAGAUUAUCUCAAUAUUGAAAAACAAUCAAGCUUCAUCUCUAAAGCAAUAAAAUGUGCCUUUAAUAUCUUGAUAUUAAAAAAUUUUAGAGGAAAGUUUGAAAAAUUGGAGGCACAAAUUUCUAUUAUUAUCCAUUAAUAUCCAUAAUAUCCAUUAAUAUCCAUUGGUUCCUUCUUUGAGGAUAAAAUCUGGCAGCAUGUUUCAAGAGUCAUAAAAACAUUCAUAACCUUUGACCUAAUAACCACAUACCCAGGAAUUUAAACUACUGUAAAGGAAUUGUUUUUACAAAAAACAAAGGGAAUAAGUAUAUACAAAAAUGGUUAUGACAAGAAUGCUAAUAUAGUCCUAAUUUUUUAAAUGUGCAUGAUUCAGCAUUUGGAAAACUGGUAAAGUAUGAUAUAUUAUCUAGAAGGAAAUAUGAAGAAAUUUAUUGGUUCAUAAUAAAUUGCUUAUUUAUUAUGAUUUAUUAAUGAUUGCAUAAUAAAUCUUUAUUUAUUUAUAAAUACCAUAGAAAUACAAAGAUGUGUGAGAUCUUUGUAUAGAUCUCAUAGAGAUACAAAGACCGUAAAGAUACAACGAAGUAUUUACAAAUAAAAGUUUGUUAAAAUGCACAGUUGUACAAUGACAGCAAUAGAUUUAUAAAAUAUACUUAUAUCAAGUGAAAUUAUUAUGGGUUUAAUUAAUGGUAAUUUUUAUAAGUAAAUGCCAGUUUUAAAUUUCUUUUUACAUAUGUACAUGUAUAAAUACUUUGACAUAAAUGUGUAAAUAUAGUCCAAUCCACAUUCAAUGGGAAUUUUUUGUGCACUCUUAUUUAUUGUUUUAUUUACUUUCCUAGUCAACAUUUCCAAACCCCAUCACCUAUCUCAUCAUCUUAUCCAUGUUUAAAAAUCUAGUAUAAUUUUUCUUUUUUCCAUAUUCUUAUAAUGCAGUUCAGUUCAGUUCAGUCUCUCAGUCCUGUCAGACUCUUUGUGACCCCAUGAAUCACAAUACAUCAGGCCUCCCUGUUCAUCAUCAGCUCGCAGAGUGCACUCAAACCCAUGUCCCUCGAGUCUGUGAUACCAUCCAACCAUCUCAUCCUCUGUCGUCGUCUUCUCCUCCUGCCCUCAAUCAUUCCCAGCAUCAGGGUCUUUUCAAAUGAAUCAGCUCUUUGCAUCAUGCGGCCAAAUACUGGAGUUUCAGCUUCAGCAUCAGUCCCUCCAAAGAAAUCCCAGGGCUGAUCUCCUUCAGAAUGGACUGGUUGGAUCUCCUUGCAGUCCAAGGGACGCUCAAGAGUCUUCUCCAACACCACAGUUCAAAAGCAUCAAUUCUUCACCACUCAGCUUUCUUUACAGCCCAACUCUCACAUCCAUACAUGACCACCGGAAAACCAUAGCCUUGACUAGAUGGAUCUUUGUUGAUAAAGUAAAGUCUCUGCUUUUUAAUAUACUAUCUAGGUUGGUCAUAACUUUUCUUCCAAGGAGUAAGCGUCUUUUAAUUUCAUGGCUACAGUCACCAUCUGCAGUGAUUUUGGAGCCCAAGAAAAUAAAGUCUGACACUGUUUCCACUGUUUCCCAUCUAUUUCCCAUGAAGUGAUGGGACUGGAUGCCAUAAUCUUCAUUUUCUGAAUGUUGAGCUUUAGGCCAACUUUUUCACUCUCCUCUUUUACUUUCAUCAAGAGGCUUUUGAGUUCCUCUUCACUUUCUGCCGUAAGGGUGGUGUCAUCUGCAUAUCUGAGGUUAUUGAUAUUUUUCCCAGCAAUCUUAAUUCCAGCUUGUGUUUCUUCCAGUCCAGCGUUUUUCAUGCCUUAUUAAACUGAUUUGAGUUCUAAUCCCACCACUGCUACUUAUGUGACCUUCUAUAAAUGCUUAACUUCUCUGACCUCAGUGCCCUCAUUUGUAUAAAGAAUCAAUUCAGAAAGAAUAAGAUUAAACUAAUAGGCAGCAAAACAUUAGCUAUUAUUUACCAUUGCUACACUCCCUCUGUGAUAUCAUCAUGAGAAUCCAACAAUGUUUAAUAAUGAAUAUUUUCUCAUUCCCCUUUAUUUACAUCUUUCACAACUUUCUCCUUGUUACUUUCAACCCCUGAUACUACCAAAAAGGCAGCAUCAAUAAAAGGUAAAUAAAGACCAAGGAACUCUUACACAUUAAAGGAAACUAAAGAGACAUGACAGCUAAAUGCAACAUGUAAUUCUGGAUUGCAUCCUGAAAUAGAGUGGACAUUAGUGAAAUAAUCGGCGAAACAUUAAUGAAAUCUGUAGCUGCAAUGACAGCACUUUAUCAAGGUUAAUUUCUUGGUGGUGAUCAUUGUAAUAUGGUUAUAUAUAGAACACCCUUGUGUUUAGUAAAUAUACACUAAAAUAUUUAGGACUAAAGGAGUAUCAUAUGUGCAACUUCCAAAUGUUUCAGAAAUAUGUGUGUGUGCAUGUAUCUAUACAUCAUAUAUCCAUGUAUGUGUGUGUGUGUGUGUAUAUAUAUAUAUAUAUAUAUAUAUAUAUAUAUAGUUGAUCCUCAUUAUUUAUGGGCUUCCUACUUCCAAAUUUGGGCUUCCCUUGAGGCUCAGUUGGUAAAGAAUUUUAAACAUAAUAAAUAUGAUUUUAUAAUAUAUUGCAUAAAACACACUAUUCAAUUACUAUCCAUCUGGAAAAAUAAAAAUAUACCAUAUUUGAUACCACACAAAAAAUAAAUCAUACAAUUUAAAAACUAAAUAUCACCAAAAAAGUAUGUCAGUAGAAUAUUUAAGAGGUGCUUGUAUAAAUCUGAGAACAGCAGAUAACUUAAGAGCAUUGAGAAGCCCAGAAACCACAAAAGAAGUAUCAACAGAUUUGAGUACAUAAAAUUUAAGACUUUCUGUCAAAAUAGACUGGAGGAAAAUAUUUUCAAUAUAUAUGACAAAGCUUAUUAUAAAAGGAAAUUGCUGAAUAAAUUGCAUUUAAAACAGCAUUAUUUAACUUAUAAAAAGAAUAUACUAGAUCUAUAUGCAUUAACAUGGAAAAUAGCCUUAUAUUUUGAGAGGAAAACAUGUGAAUUCUGGCAAGAUGAUGGCAGUAGUACAGCUGUUAGAUCUGUAGUACAGCUUUUAUAUCUUUCUAAAUUCUUACAUGAAAAGUCAAAGAAACUGGAGAGCAAAAAUAAUAUUUACAACAAAUACUGGUAACAAGGUGAAACCAUACACCCCCAAACACAAACAGAGACAAACCACCAAUAUCCACAAGGUCAAAAUGUUGUUGACAUUGCUAUGAGAGAAAGCAGAGUACAUCUGACUAACCUAAGAAUAGAAUAAUAUGAAAUAGUCAUCUUGAAUUUUGGCAGGCCAAUUUGAGAACAGUAACUGCAUCUCAGAAGCAUUUUGCACCCUGUACUGGCAUUUAAGUACAAAGAACCACAGUAAGAUUUAAUGAGUUUGGAGAAGUCUGCUGCUGCUGCUAAGUCACUUCAGUCGUGUCCGACUCUGUGCGACCCCAUAGACGGCAGCCCACCAGGCUCCUCCGUACGUGGGAUUUUCCAGGCAAGAGUACUGGAGUGGGGUGCCAUUGCCUUCUCCUUGGAGAAGUCUGCUGCUGCUGCUAAGUCGCUUCAGUCGUGUCCGGCCACUAUGAAUUCUUGAAACAGAAUUGGUAGGAAUCUUAUGUAGAACAGGACCACGUAAGAGGAAAAACUGAUGGGAGCAAAAUGAAAACUGAGCAGGCCUGGGAUAGAGUGACAAAGAAAAGAGAAGAGGCAAAAUUGGACAGAGUAAAUAAAGCCAGAAAAUCUUAGCAAUAUGCCACAUUUUUACACCACACAAAAACAAAGAGAAAACUACAUUUUACGCAGGCAGAGACCAUAUGAGUUGAGCUCCUGAAAGUUCAGAGGGACUAAAAUUAUAUUAAAAUGAUCAAUGUAAAGCUAUUGAAAUCAAAUCCCCCCCAAAGUUACUACAGAAAAAAGAAUAAGAACCAGAAUGACAUCUCUACAGAUAAUAAAAAUAUACCAAAAAGUUGUAUACAAAAGACAGAAAAAAUUAUAAUGUAUUAUUUCAAAACAAGCUAGAAUGUAUUAAGAAAAAUACAAAAUACGGAAAAGAUUUUAACUCAAAAUUAUAAAAAAUCUGAGACAAAAAGUUCAAGAAUUAGAAGUAAGAGAUAAGUCAUUUUAGAAAUCAAGACUCUCUAGAAGGAAAACCAGAGUGAAUAAACUCAAGAAAUUUUGCUUAAAAAUGGUUAAAAGAAGAAUUUAUUUAAUUAUAAGGAUACCAGAUAAGAAAUAAAAGGAAUUCAGACAGUGAUAUAAUUAAAGAUUGAGGGGGGAAAGAUACAAUAUUAUAUUAGGUGUCCUAACAAAGGAAAUCAACAUUACAAAACUAAGUUUAUGAAAAUUUUCCUAAAAUAAUACUAAAUGUUUGUUUAAAACUGUAUAUUGAUAGAGAAUAAAAUGUACUUAAGUAUAUAGAAUCAGAAAAACAAACACAUGGACAUUCUGGUGAAAUUAUUAGAAAAUAAAGGAAAAUAAAAAGGCUUUGAUGCUCAGGAGAAAAAAAAAAACAUAUGACUUAAAAGACAUAUAAAGAUAUACUGUCUACUCCAUCAAAAUUUUUGACAUCAUAUCUUUACACUAGAAAAAAAUAAAGUAACAUAUUUAAUGUAUUAAGGAAAGAAAACGUGGACAAAGUAUUUUCUAUCCAGUAAAACAGAUCUCUAAAAAUAGAACAUAGUUGUUAUCAACAGGCAAGUCUUCAGGGAAUAUUUAUUGUUUCCUCUGAGUUCUUCUUAAGUAAUUUACUAGAAAAAUAGCUUAAAGCAACCAAAAUUUACAGAGAGAUUUAUGUAAAGAUUGGUGGCAAGAAGUAAAUAUAUAAAUAUGUACAGAACUAACUCUAAAUAAAGAUGAAAAUAAACAUUAUAAAAUCUCACAUAUAGAUGUAUUGUAACUAGAAAGAAAGAAUGGGAUUGCAUUUUUAAUUUUUUAUAAUCUUAAACUAUUUUCAAUAAUCAUAAUUAGUGAUGAUAUUAUUAUUUAAUAUUCACAUAUAUAGAAAGAAAAAUAAAUGAGUAAUUAUGGGAUAUCUCCUAUGACCUUCCAGGAUUUUCAGACUGUAAGAAAUGACACAGUAGUGUAAUAUAGACCAGAUUAAAUAAAGUCUGUCAUUCUGUUUUUAAUUGGAGAAAGCAUUGAAAAUAUAUGAGGCUUUUAAAAGAGAGAGAUAUAGUGUGUGUAUGUGUGUGCCCUAAUUGCCCACUGAAAAGGUCUAGAAACAAUGAUCAAUCUAGUCAUUCUGGUCAGGAAAAGGACAUGAACAAAACAGGCAAAGAACACCUCAACAAAGUAGAUGGCAUAAAAGUAUUUAAAACAGGGUUAUAUCAGAAAAUUCAGGAGCCAAUUCAAAGAAGAGUUCACUAUCCAAAGAGAAAUUUUGUACUUUAGUAUGAAGGAGAAUUACAAACAACUAAAACUCAACAAAUACAUUUAAAUGCGUGAUUUCAUAAUGAUACUUUUCUUAUCUUAUGGCAUAAGCUAGCAGUUGCAGUUUCAUGCUGAAAACUAAUAGUAAGUGGGAACAUCCUUGUCUUGUUUCAGAUCUUAGUGAGAAAGCUUCGGGUUUCUCACCAUUAGCUGUAAGGUUUUUGUAGAUAUUCUUUAUCAAGUUAAGAAAAUUCUCCUUAGUUUGUCGUUUUUAUCAUGAAUAAGUGUUCAGUUCAGUCACUCAGUCAUGUCUGACUCUUUGCGACCCCAUGAGUAGCAGCACACCAGGCCUCCCUGUCCAUCACCA
ensembl:lncRNA